rnacentral:lncRNA from 1 species
UUAAGUGCAUUUAUUUUUUAUUAAGGUUUGAACUCUUAAUAGGUCUGAAUAGGUCUUAAUCAUUCAUAUCUAAAACCAAGUCUUAAUAGGUCUGAAGGGAUAUUCUGGUGUUGGAUAAUAUUCACCACUCUAUUCGUAUUCAGCAGUCACCACCACUAACCACCUCUGCCACCAUCACCAUUGUCAACCACUACCAACCACCUCUACCAUCACAAUCACCAUCGACAAAAAAUACCGCUACCAGUCACAAUUGUUAACCGCUACCACACCUACUACCUCUUUUAUUCUAAUUAUAUUCACCGCCAUCACUGCUGUCAACAACACCACAAUCAGCAACCACUCCCGGCCAAUCCCUACUACCAACCAACUCAUCUAUCACAACUAGCACCACCACUAACUACCACUAAUACAUCACAACCUCUACACAUUCUUUGGCCGCCACCAUCAUUGUCACUAGUAACGCCACCUCUACCACCACUUCAACCAGUACCAUCGCUAUAAUUUACCUCUACUAACAACCAUCUCCAUCAUCACAACAAAUACA